GGUUAAAUACAUCCAUAUAGCCUCAAGGGCCAUAUGUGAUGUAUUUUAGCCAUAAAAAGGUAUUAUACAUUGCUGCCCAGGGCGCCCCCCCCAGCGCCCUGCACCCUCAGUGACAGUUGGUGACUGUUGGUGAAGUGUGCUGACAACAAUGGCGCACAGCUGCAGUGCUGUGCGCUACCUUAUGAAGACUGAAAGUCUUCUGCCGCCUGUUUCUGGACAUCUGGACCUCUUCAACUUCGGCAUCUGCAAGGGGGGUCGGCGGCACGGCUCCGGGACCGGACUCCAUGGCUGGGCCUGUGUUCAAUCCCUCUGGAGCUAAUGGUGUCCAGUAGCCUAAGAAGCAAAUCCAUCCUGCACGCAGGUAUCCCACCAUACAGCAGAAUGAACUGCCUAGAGGAAACUGAGGAAAUGGGUCCCACGAUGAGGGACUCCCAGUCCCACUUUACAGCGAGCAGAAAACCUGCAGCAUUAUCCAAACCCCGGGAAUGCAAUCCCAAGUGGAAACACAGAAAAAAAGCCAGGAUCUAGUUUACUAAAAAGUGAAUGCGUUGUUGCAGCUGCCUAGUUUCUGUAAUAACACAGCAAGUGUACUUUGAGGAGGGGACCGUUUCAGAACACCAAUGAAGCCUGGAAGUGCAGUAAUUGGUUGCAGAUGUCCGCGGGGAGCAGCAGUCAGCUUUCUGUACUUUCAAUAAUUAGAUGUCCUGCCUAAUUAAACUACUUGCAUCUACUGCACUACAUUUGUU